AGACUUAGUAGAAGCCCAGAGAUAUGCAAACAGAUGUCAGUUCAGUUACUCAUCAAGACCUGAGUUCGGCCAGAACCUCUACAUUGAGCAGUCGUCCCGAUCGGAGGAAGAGUUCAUGAAUAGAGGCUUUAACGCUUGGAGGAACGGGGGUCGACUCAUUCCGCUACAAUGACAGAGAAUGCUCUCCUUCCCAGAGCUGCUAUUACUCACAGGUUAACUGGGAGGACACUCGGGAAUUUGGCUGUGCAAUGAAUAACUGCCCGUAUAUGUCUCAGUUCAGAGGUUACAAUGACGUACGGUUCCUGGUGUGUUACUACGAGCCCAGGGGUAAUUGGAUGGGAGAGGAUGCUUACGAACCAGCGAAAUAGAGCCUUCGUAGGAUGGAUAAUAAUGGAUGACUUUCAACCGGAUGUUGCCUGUUCGAAGUGUUUAAAUAAAGCAAAGUGAUUGCAAAAGUAGCAAACACAAAUAAUGCCAA